GGGUCAGUAGGUUGGUCGUGCCACCGGUACGUACUGGUCUCACUGAUUCCUCCUUCCUGAAGAACCGUAAUGCCAUUAAUUUGGUGUUGCGGGGAAACAGGACAGUUACUUUGAAAAAAUUAGAGUGAUUAAAGCAAGCUAACGCUUGAAUACAUUAGCAUGGAAUAAUGAAAUAGGACGAUCGAUCCUAUUUUGUUGGUUUCUAGGAUUGACGUA
rnacentral:rRNA from 1 species